rnacentral:rRNA from 1 species
AUUGAACGCUGGCGGCAUGCCUUACACAUGCAAGUCGAACGGCAGCACGGGAGCAAUCCUGGUGGCGAGUGGCGAACGGGUGAGUAAUAUAUCGGAACGUGCCCAGUCGUGGGGGAUAACGUAGCAAAAGCUACGCUAAUACCGCAUACGAUCUAUGGAUGAAANCGGGGGAUCGCAAGACCUCGCGCGAUUGGAGCGGCCGAUAUCAGAUUAGGUAGUUGGUGAGGUAAAGGCUCACCAAGCCGACGAUCUGUAGCUGGUCUGAGAGGACGACCAGCCACACUGGGACUGAGACACGGCCCAGACUCCUACGGGAGGCAGCAGUGGGGAAUAUUGGACAAUGGGCGCAAGCCUGAUCCAGCAAUGCCGCGUGCAGGAUGAAGGCCUUCGGGUUGUAAACUGCUUUUGUACGGAACGAAACGGCGAGCUCUAAUACAGUUUGCUAAUGACGGUACCGUAAGAAUAAGCACCGGCUAACUACGUG